GUUGACCUCGGAUCAGGUAGGGAUACCCGCUGAACUUAAGCAUAUCAAUAAGCGGAGGAAAAGAAACCAACAGGGAUUGCUCUAGUAACGGCGAGUGAAGCAGCAAUAGCUCAAAUUUGAAAUCUGGCGUCUUCGGCGUCCGAGUUGUAAUUUGUAGAGGAUGCUUCUGGGCAGCCACCGACCUAAGUUCCUUGGAACAGGACGUCAUAGAGGGUGAGAAUCCCGUAUGCGGUCGGAAAGGCACCCUACACGUAGCUCCUUCGACGAGUCGAGUUGUUUGGGAAUGCAGCUCUAAAUGGGAGGUAAAUUUCUUCUAAAGCUAAAUAUUGGCCAGAGACCGAUAGCGCACAAGUAGAGUGAUCGAAAGAUGAAAAGCACUUUGGAAAGAGAGUUAAAAAGCACGUGAAAUUGUUGAAAGGGAAGGGAUUGCAACCAGACUUGCUCGCGGUGUUCCGCCGGUCUUCUGACCGGUUUACUCGCCGCGUUGCAGGCCAGCAUCGUCUGGUGCCGCUGGAUAAGACUGGAGGAAUGUAGCUCCCUCGGGAGUGUUAUAGCCUCUAGUGAUGCAGCGAGCGCCGGGCGAGGUCCGCGCUUCGGCUAGGAUGCUGGCGUAAUGGUCGUAAUCCGCCCGUCUUG
rnacentral:rRNA from 1 species